AUAAAGUCUUAUUUUAGCUAAAACAUUUAUUUUAUAUAGAUUUUACAUGAAAAUUUUUGUGGGAUUUCUUUAAAUUUUUAAACCCCCCCUUUAAACCCCUAUUCUCAGGGGGUGGACCCCCCCCGGAAAGAAACCCCCCUUUAUUACCCCCCUUAAAAGGGGGGUGACCCCCCCCUGGGUUUAAACCCGCGGUUAUACAUAAUAUAUAAAUAAAUUUUAUUAUUUUAUAGUUAAAUAAUUUGAAUUAAAUUAAUUUUUUAUUAAUUAGGUGAAAUUUUUAAUAAUUUUUAUUUUAUUAAUUUAUUUUUUGAAGCUAUAUAAAUUUAAUAAUAAACUAGGAUUAGAUACCCUAUUAUUUGAAGAAUAAAUAUUAAUAAAAAUAAGGUAGUAAUAGAUAAAGACUUGAAACUUAAAAAAUUUGGCGGUAUUUUAGUCUAUUUAGAGGAACCUGUUCUAUAAACGAUAAUCCACGAUAAAUUUUACAUGAUUUUAUUUAAUUUGUAUAUCGUCGUUAUAAGAAAAUUUUAUAAGAAUUUAAAUUUUCUAGAAUUUUAAUUAAAUUUUAUUUCAGAUCAAGGUGCAAUAUAUAAUUAUGAAGAAAUGGGUUACAAUAAAUUUAUUUAUAUUGGAUAAUAAAUUGCAAUAUUUAUUUAAAAUUGGAUUUAAUAGUAAAUAAAAUUAUAUAAUUUUUUUGAUUUUAGCUCUAAAAUAUGUACAUAUCGCCCGUCACUCUCUUUCUUAAUUUAAAAAGAGAUAAGUCGUAACAAAGUAGAUGUACUGGAAAGUGUACCUAGAAUUAU
rnacentral:rRNA from 1 species